rnacentral:lncRNA from 1 species
CUGCAGGAGCACAUACAAUAGGCCAAGCGAGAUGCACCUCCUUCAGGGCCAGGAUAUACAACGAAACCAACAUCGAUAGCUCCUUCGCUAAGACAAGGCAAGCGAGCUGCCCGAGUGCUUCUGGUUCAGGAGACAACAACCUGGCACCUCUGGAUCUUCAGACCCCUACCACCUUUGACAACUACUACUACAAGAACCUGAUCAACCAAAAGGGUCUUCUUCACUCUGAUCAAGUUCUCUACAAUGGAGGUUCCACUGACUCCACAGUUAAAACCUACGUCAACAACCCAAAGACCUUCACUUCUGACUUUGUUGCCGGAAUGAUCAAGAUGGGUGAUAUCACUCCACUCACUGGGUCUGAAGGGGAGAUCAGGAAGAGC